UACGGAGGGUGCAAGCGUUGUUCGGAAUCAUUGGGCGUAAAGAGCGUGUAGGCGGUCGGGUAAGUCAGAUGUGAAAUCCCUUGGCUUAACCAAGGAAGUGCAUUUGAAACUGCCCGGCUUGAGUACGGGAGGGGGAAGUGGAAUUCCCGGUGUAGAGGUGAAAUUCGUAGAUAUCGGGAGGAACACCGGUGGCGAAGGCGGCUUCCUGGACCGAUACUGACGCUGAGACGCGAAAGCGUGGGGAGCAAACAGG
rnacentral:rRNA from 1 species